GUCUACGGCCAUACCACCCUGAAUGCACCCGAUCUCAUCUGAUCUCAGAAGCUAAGCAGGGUUGGGCCUGCUUAGUACUCGGAUGAGAGACCAUCAAUCCAACUCCAAAAUUAGGAGGCCACGGGGACUGUGAAGC
ensembl:rRNA 5S_rRNA 5S ribosomal RNA